UACGUAGGCAGCAAGCGUUGUUCGGAAUUACUGGGCGUAAAGAGUGUGUAGGCGGUGCCGUAAGUUUGGCGUGAAAUCUCCCGGCUUAACUGGGAGGGUGCGCCGAAGACUGCGGUGCUUGAGGGUUGGAGAGGAAAGUGGAAUUUCUGGUGUAGCGGUGAAAUGCGUAGAUAUCAGGAGGAACACCGGUGGUGUAGACGGCUUUCUGGACCGUAACUGACGCUGAGUGAGCGAAAGCCAGGGGAGCAAACGGG
rnacentral:rRNA from 1 species